UCAUCAUAAGUGAAAACGUUAAGAGUGGAGUUUAACAUGCAUCUUGGUUUUAGUCCUUAAAAAUUAGAACAUGAAAUACAUUAAAGGUGUUGUCCAAAUCUUCAUCCUACUGGUGUCAUGGCUUAAAGCUCUCACUGAUGGAAGUGAUGUGACCCAGACUCCUCAGCUGUGGAGGAACAAAAGUCAGUCUGCCACCAUGCACUGCAGUCACACCAAAGGAGGCAGUUACUUCCAGAUGUACUGGUACAGACAGCGUCCAGGGCAGACAAUGGAGGAAAUUGUUUUCACCACUUUGACUCCUCCACACCAAUACCAAAGCGGCUUCAGCAAGGAGCGAUAUCCAGCUGAGAAGAAAGAUGCUGAAACUGGAUCUUUAACAGUGAAGACUCUGCUGCCUGACGACAGUGCGAUCUAUUUCUGCUCUGUAAGUCAACACAACGGUGCAGACCUGCCAGGCAGUGGUACAAUUAAUCUACUGCACUGUACUGAUGUGGCCAGAGGGGGUCGUUACAUAUUUGGUCCUCUAGAUGGAGCUCUAAACCCUAGGGCAGGGGUCUCCAACCUUUUUUAGAAUGAAAGACACUUUUGAUGUUAUUGAUUUAUACAUUCCAGAUGUGUGCAUUAGUUUACUUCUUAAAGCUCAGAGACAGAGACAGAGCAGAGAGUAUACUGUUACAUUAAAAAGGACCAGGACUGCAUGCUGGAGAGCUUUGCAGCAUUUUCUGGUCUUAUUGGUUCCACUAAAACUACUGGAUCAAAAUGUAACUAUUCUUUAAGCAUUUAGCUAAUCUCACAGUCGUUUCAUUUAUUCACCAGAUCAGUAUCUAGUCUAACUUCUCAAUAAUUCUAAACUGCUGUUGGUCCUGACACAUCUUUACAUGAUUGUAUUUCUUGGAAUAGUCUUAAAGAAACUACAGCCCAUGAUCGGAGUCAACACUACGUUGUAUACAUUUCUUCC